GAUGAACGCUGGCGGCGUGCUUAACACAUGCAAGUCGAACGGUGAAGCUCCAGCUUGCUGGUGUGGAUCAGUGGCGAACGGGUGACUAACACGUGAGCAACCUGCCCCUGACUCUGGGAUAACAGCCGGAAACGGCUGCUAAUACCGGAUAUGCACCCUCAACGCAUGUUCUGUGGUGGGAAAGCUGUUUCGGUUGGGGAUGGGCCCGCGGCCUAUCAGCUUGUUGGUGGGGCCAUGGACUACCAAGGCGGCGACGGGUAGCCGGCCUGAGAGGGUGACCGGCCAACACGGGAACGGGGAAAGGGCCAGACUUCCACGGGAGGGAGGAGGGGGGAAUAAUGCGACAAGGGGCGAAGGCCUGAUGAGGCACCCCGGGGUGGGGAAGAACGCCCUUCGGUUUGAAAACCUCUUUAGCAGGGAAGGAGGCGAAGGUAAGGGAACCUGCGAAAAAGCGCCGGCUAACUACGUG
rnacentral:rRNA from 1 species